UUUCAGAUUCCGUCCAUAGCUCCGUUGAUUCCAAUUUCGACCUUUUCAUAUUCUUUGCUUUCUCCGGUACGCCUGCAGGUUCCUCAAUAAAGGCUCUGAAACCCUAGAUCUCCGUCAUCGACCAGAAUUCACAAUUUUUCGAAGGCUAUGGGCUUGUGGACAUUGCUCGAGGGCUGCUUACUUCUUGCAAAUGCACUUGCGAUAUUGAACGAAGAUCGUUUCCUUGCUCCAAGAGGAUGGAGCUUCCAGGAAUAUUCAGGGGUUAGAAGAAAUUCAUUCAAGGGCCAGCUACUUGGUCUUAUUUAUGCAACUCAAUAUCUGAGAGUUCUUCUCAUACUCCUUAACACACUUUGUAUUGUUGUAAAGUUUGUAUCUGGAUGAUGAUUCUUGCGUGAGACACUGAAGUUCAUAGAUGGAAGGGUUUAGAAAGCUUCCUGGAGGAAAAGCACCAACUCUAGUCGCAUUUUGUUAGAUACCCUGAUACAAACUGUUCUUCUUCAAUUAGUUUAGGAUAGUAAAUUAUUUCUUGGUCUUUAUGGACGGCUGUUGUAAAAUAGGAAAAUUACCUUUUUCCAAAUAUGAGUAUGGGUGAUGAAAACCAAUUCUUGUGAUAAAAGGGAGUCUUGUAGUUAGGAUUGUGAUACGAUGAUCAAGACCCAAGUCUUUCAACUUUAGGCUCUCAUUGUUCUGAAAAACGUGAACCUUGUUAUGUUGUUUCACAGGUCAACUGAUAUCUUCAGUCAAGACCAGCUUCUAAGCUGAUUAAAGCUGUGCUAGUGUAGAAUAUGUGUGUACCCUUUACAAAAAAAGAAGAGUAAAUAUCCUAAAACCCGCCUAAACUAUCACGUUUUUGUCAGAUUCCUCCCUAAACUAUUGCAUAUCCCCAAAACUUCCCUCAACUGUAUCCUCCUUCAUAUUAAAAA